rnacentral:rRNA from 1 species
CCUACGGGGUGCAGCAGUGGGGAAUAUUGGACAAUGGGCGAAAGCCUGAUCCAGCCAUGCCGCGUGUGUGAAGAAGGCCUUCGGGUUGUAAAGCACUUUCAGUGGGGAAGAAAGCCUUGGGGCUAAUACCCUCGAGGAAGGACAUCACCCACAGAAGAAGCACCGGCUAACUCCGUGCCAGCAGCCGCGGUAAUACGGAGGGUGCGAGCGUUAAUCGGAAUUACUGGGCGUAAAGCGCGCGUAGGCGGUCUGAUAAGCCGGUUGUGAAAGCCCCGGGCUCAACCUGGGAACGGCAUCCGGAACUGUCAGGCUAGAGUGCAGGAGAGGAAGGUAGAAUUCCCGGUGUAGCGGUGAAAUGCGUAGAGAUCGGGAGGAAUACCAGUGGCGAAGGCGGCCUUCUGGACUGACACCGACGCUGAGGUGCGAAAGCGUGGGUAGCAAACAGGAUUAGAUACCCCGGUAGUC